rnacentral:rRNA from 1 species
GAUGAACGCUGGCGGCGUGCCUAAUACAUGCAAGUCGAGCGAACGGACGAGAAGCUUGCUUCUCUGAUGUUAGCGGCGGACGGGUGAGUAACACGUGGAUAACCUACCUAUAAGACUGGGAUAACUUCGGGAAACCGGAGCUAAUACCGGAUAAUAUUUUGAACCGCAUGGUUCAAAAGUGAAAGACGGUCUUGCUGUCACUUAUAGAUGGAUCCGCGCUGCAUUAGCUAGUUGGUAAGGUAACGGCUUACCAAGGCAACGAUGCAUAGCCGACCUGAGAGGGUGAUCGGCCACACUGGAACUGAGACACGGUCCAGACGCCUACGGGAGGCAGCAGUAGGGAAUCGUCCGCAAUGGGCGAAAGCCUGACGGAGCAACGCCGCGUGAGUGAUGAAGGUCUUCGGAUCGUAAAACUCUGUUAUUAGGGAAGAACAUAUGUGUAAGUAACUGUGCACAUCUUGACGGUACCGAAUCAGAAAGCCACGGCUAACUACGUG